GAUGCUGGGCCUCACAAACCUCCUUUUUUUCAGUGAGAAUUACACAGACGCAGCCCGGCAGGUCCUGUCACACGCCAGUCACCCCAGACUAGGGUACUCGUAUGCCAUAGUGGGCAUCAAUCUGACAGAGAUGGCAUACAGCUUAAUGAAGAGUGACGCUCUGAAGCCUCAUUUCUACAACACAGUCUCUGGAAAACCCCAAAUGCAACACUUCCGUCAUUUC